rnacentral:rRNA from 1 species
CAGCCGCCGCGGGAAUACGUAGGGUGCAAGCGUUAAUCGGAAUUACUGGGCGUAAAGCGUGCGCAGGCGGUCCGCUAAGACAGAUGUGAAAUCCCCGGGCUUAACCUGGGAACUGCAUUUGUGACUGGCGGGCUAGAGUAUGGCAGAGGGGGGUAGAAUUCCACGUGUAGCAGUGAAAUGCGUAGAUAUGCGGAGGAACACCGAUGGCGAAGGCAAUCCCCUGGACCUGUACUGACGCUCAUGCACGAAAGCGUGGGGAGCAAACAGGAUUAGAUACCCGCGUAGUCCCUGUCUCUUAUAC